rnacentral:rRNA from 1 species
CAGCAGCCGCGGUAAUUCGUAGGGUGCAAGCGUUAAUCGGAAUUACUGGGCGUAAAGCGUGCGCAGGCGGUUCGGAAAGAAAGAUGUGAAAUCCCAGAGCUUAACUUUGGAACUGCAUUUUUAACUACCGGGCUAGAGUGUGUCAGAGGGAGGUGGAAUUCCGCGUGUAGCAGUGAAAUGCGUAGAUAUGCGGAGGAACACCGAUGGCGAAGGCAGCCUCCUGGGAUAACACUGACGCUCAUGCACGAAAGCGUGGGGAGCAAACAGGAUUAGAUACCCUGGUAGUCCACGCCCUAAACGAUGUCAACUAGCUGUUGGGGCCUUCGGGCCUUGGUAGCGCAGCUAACGCGUGAAGUUGACCGCCUGGGGAGUACGGUCGCAAGAUUAAAACUUAAAGGAAUUGGCGGG